CGGAGUUCAGUCUUCCCAGGCCCACCACUUUCAUCGAGUGAGCAUUCGUCUUCUGGUUACGGGGCCAUAGCUGAGCUGGGAGAGCGCGUGCUUUGCAAGCAUGAGGUCGUCGGUUCGAUCCCGUCUGGCUCCACCAGAUGGUUUGAUCACCUGCGACUGACCGUCGUCCGCGAAACAUCACUUCGCAUUCACUAGUCUGGAUAGACAGUGAACUGCGUGUUUUCUGACAUCGUAAAGAGGAGAUCGAUCCGAGUUGGGUCGUGCAGCAGAUUGUUGCGCGGAUCCUUCAUUAUCUCCGGAUCAUUUUCGGCGCUCGCUUUCAGCCGUGAGGCUGAACGCGAGUUGUAAAAUGAUCCUUUUAGCGAAGCUUGACCGCCUCGCUAUCGGAACGAUCUUAAGAAGCAAGCUGGUCUUUCUAGUCAAUGUCCGGCUGUGAGAAUAGCGCUCGUCGAGGGCGCGUGCCGCAAGGCGGUUCUUACAGGCAGCAUUCUGCCGAGUGUGUGGACAUUGAUAAUGAGAGCAAUCAAGUGCCUUAAGGGUGUUCGGUGGAUGCCUUGGCGCUGAGAGGCGAUGAAGGACGUGCUACGCUGCGAUAAGCCGUGGGGAGCUGCGAAGAAGCUUUGAUCCGCGGAUUUCCGAAUGGGAAAAACCC
rnacentral:misc_RNA from 1 species